AGCCACAGCCAUAUCACCCUGCAGCCCAAGACUCAUUGAAGCUAAGCAGGGCUGAGCCUGUUCAGUACCUGGAUGGGAGACCACAUGGGAAAACUAGGUUGCUGUUGGAA
rnacentral:rRNA from 1 species